GGGAAGGAGGGUAGGGAUGCCGGGGGCCACUCCUGCGUGGUGCGAGUGGGAACGCGCGCGCGCGCCUGGGUGUGUGUUGUUAGCUGAUAUCCAUGGCAGCUGCAGUGGCAGGGUGCGUGUGCGUGUGUGUGUGUGUGUGUGUGUGUACUAGUUCUACUGUACUGGCAGACGGGAGGAGGCAGGGGAGGAGGGGCGCGCGCGCCGGGUGGGGAGCCACGGAGGGCUUCGCCGCUGCCUCCCUCCCUCCCUCCGCAGCUUGACCCGGUAGUGAAGGCAGAGAGAGAGGCAGGCUGGGUCCGCCUGGCAGCCUACGGGAGGAGGCGGGAGCCGGGAAGGAGGGGAGCCUAGGCCCGGCGUGGGGAGGCCGGCAGGAAGGGCCUCGAGCCCAGUGCGGACCUUUCUUCAGCCUCUGUGCGACCGAGCCGCGCGCCAGGCUCCUGUGCGAGGAGGACGCGCUGACUCCCUCCGACCUGGGCUCCGAUGGAGCAGAAAUAGCGGGACCUGGACUUGUGGCGCGCCUGGUGCCACAUCUCGGGCUCUGCGAGCGUCCUGGCGCGGGAUCCUGCCGUUUGCAUCCAAGAGAGGGGAGGACAGGGGCAAAAGGAUGCAGGGAGGCUGCUGAUUUCCACUGAAGAGCUAAUUUCCUGUGAGACAUUAACAGUGAUUUAAGAAAAAGAUUCCUGUAACUGGUAAAUGAAUUUCAUUUGCUUAACUUUUAGAUGAUAUGUUUCAG
rnacentral:lncRNA from 10 species